AACCCUAUGUUAGUUGCCAUCAUUCAGUUGGGCACUCUAGCGAGACUGCCGGUAAUAAACCGGAGGAAGGUGGGGAUGACGUCAAAUCAUCAUGCCCCUUAUGACCUGGGCUACACACGUGCUACAAUGGUUGGUACAACGAAUUGCGAGUCGGUGACGGCGAGCUAAUCUCUUAAAGCCAAUCUCAGUUCGGAUUGUAGGCUGCAACUCGCCUACAUGAAGUCGGAAUCGCUAGUAAUCGCGGAUCAGCACGCCGCGGUGAAUACGUUCCCGGGCCUU
rnacentral:rRNA from 1 species